ensembl:snRNA U6 U6 spliceosomal RNA
GUGCUAACUUCGGCAGCACAUACUGGAAUGGUAAGAGAAAAUUAGCACAGCCCCUGUGCAAGGCUGACAUGAAAAUGUGUAAAGCAUUCCAUUUUUAA